AGGAUCUUUGAUUAGGCUUGUCCUUUUCCGUCGAGGUGUUCUGUAGAUGGGAAUGAGGAAUAUUUCUGAAGGGAUCAGAGAGAAUUCUUUGCCAUGGAACUGGAAUCUGGAGCCGACCACCACAUCCAAGGAUGUAGACAACUGGUUGAUCCACUAAGCCAUAGAAGGCAAUGGACUAACUACAGAAAAGACACAAAAUGCUGGAGUAACUCAGAAGAUCAGUUAGCAUCCCUGGAGAAGAUGGAUGGGGUAAAGUUUCAUGUGGGGACCCUUCUGCCGACUGAUUGCCCUGACAAACCCCUGCAAUCGAUCUGAAAAGGGUCCCAACCAGCUUGACUAGCGGAUCGGGAAUCGGGAAUGACCAACAUUCCAGCAUUUUGUCUUUCCUCUGCAAACCAGCAUCUACAGUUCCUCAUUUUCAUCUCUUCAAUGAAGACUGUGGUCAUUGGGAUAAACAUACUGCAGCUUCUAAUUGUAAAUUCAGUCAAAGCAGAAACUAACCUGUUGUACCGUACUUCUAAAUAAAUGAUCCCCGCCCGACUUGGCAAAUGGCAAAAUAUAGCCAAAUGCUGAAGUGAAUAUAAAGACCUUUCAAGCAGUUGU